GCCCGAAUAGCUCAGUUGGUUGAGCGUUGUCCCAUGCGCCCAAAGGUUGCUGGUUCGAUUCCAGGUGAGGGCG
rfam:Myotis lucifugus cont2.45678, whole genome shotgun sequence.